rnacentral:sRNA from 1 species
AUGAAGCACUACGAGGUGGAGAUUCUGGAUGCAAAGACAAGGGAGAAGCUGUGUUUCUUGGACAAGAGCUGACGUCCCUGCGCCUGUGCUUCCCCCAGGUGGAGCCCCACGCCACCAUUGCGGAGAUCAAGAACCUCUUCACCAAGACCCAUCCACAGUGGUACCCCGCCCGCCAGUCCCUCCGCCUGGACCCCAAAGCUGCCCGUGGGCACCACGGCCACACUCUACUUCCGGGACCUGGGGGC